CAGCCGCGUUGGGAUUGAGAUAUGGCCCAUAUUCCUACGGGAAGCAGCAGUGAGGAAUUUUUCACAAUGGGCGAAAGCCUGAUGGAGCAAUACCACGUGAACGAUGAAGGUCUUCUGAUUGUAAAGUUCUUUUAUUUAGGAAAAAAAGCAGGAUAGGAAAUGAUUCUGCCGUGAUUGUACUAAUUGAAUAAGUGACAGCUAACUAUGUGCCAGCAGCUGCGGUAAAACAUAGGUCACGAGCAUUAUCCGGAUUUAUUGGGCGUAAAGGAAGCGUAGGUGGAGGAGUUGAUCCAUUGUCAAAAGCAUCUGCUUAACAGGUGUCCGCGAUGGAUAUCGCUUCUCUAGAAUUAGUUAGGGGGUACUGGAAUUCAAUGUGUAGCGGUGGAAUGCGUAGAUAUAUUGAGGAACACCAGAGGCUAAGGCGAGUACCUGGGACAUAAUUGACACUGAGGCUUGAAAGCGUGGGGAGCAAAUGGGAUUAGAUACCCCAGUAGUCCACGCCGUAAACGAUGGGUAUUAGGUAUUUGGUUUAAAACUGAGUGCUGUAGCUAACGCGUUAAAUACCCCGCCUGGGUAGUAUAUAUGCAAAUAUGAAACUCAAAGAAAUUGACGGGGACCUGAACAAGUGGUGGAGCAUGUUGCUUAUUCGAUAUACACGCAAAACCUUACCAGGCUUGUAUCUACUGCGAGCUAUAGAAAUAUAGUGGAGGUUAUCGGUAUGACAGGUGGUGCAUGGCUGUCGUCAGCUCGUGUCUUGAGAUGUUUGGUUAAGUCCCGUAACGAGCGCAACCCUACUCUCUAGUUAAUUAGUUCUAGAGUGACUGAAUCGUAAGAUAUAGGAAGGUUGGGGCCAAGUCAAGUCAUCAUGCCCCUUAUGCCUUGGGCUGCAAACGUGCUACAAUGGUAGGCACAAUGUGUUGCAAACUAGCGAUAGUGAGCUAAUCACCUAAAACCUAUCUCAGUCCGGAUAAAAGGCUGCAAUUCGCCUAUUUGAAGUUGGAAUCACUAGUAAUCCUGUGUCAGCUAUAUCAGGGUGAAUACGUUCCCAGGUCUUGUACACACCGCCCGUCAAACU
rnacentral:rRNA from 1 species